rnacentral:rRNA from 1 species
GUGGAUUAGAUACCCUGGUAGUCCACGCCGUAAACGAUGAGCGCUAGUCGUCGCGGGUAUUGACCCCUGCGGCAACGAAGUUAACGCAUUAAGCGCUCCGCCUGGGGAGUACGGCCGCAAGGCUAAAACUCAAAGGAAUUGACGGGGGCCCGCACAAGCGGUGGAGCAUGUGGUUCAAUUCGACGCAACGCGCAGAACCUUACCUGGGUUAAAUCCACCGGAACCCUGCAGAGAUGUGGGGGUGCUCGCAAGAGAGCCGGUGAGAAGGUGCUGCACGGCCGUCGCCAACU